UGCCGGAUGCUCCGGUUGGAUGCAUGUCCUUCCGGGAAAGGUUCCAUCGGUAUGGGAUGGGGUCGCGUCCUAUCAGCUUGAUGGCGGGGUAACGGCCCACCAUGGCUUCGACGGGUAGCCGGCCUGAGAGGGCGACCGGCCACAUUGGGACUGAGAUACGGCCCAGACUCCUACGGGAGGCAGCAGUGGGGAAUAUUGCACAAUGGGCGCAAGCCUGAUGCAGCGACGCCGCGUGCGGGAUGGAGGCCUUCGGGUUGUAAACCGCUUUUGAUCGGGAGCAAGCCCUUCGGGGUGAGUGUACCUUUCGAAUAAGCACCGGCUAACUACGUGCCAGCAGCCGCGGUAAUACGUAGGGUGCAAGCGUUAUCCGGAAUUAUUGGGCGUAAAGGGCUCGUAGGCGGUUCGUCGCGUCCGGUGUGAAAGCCCAUCGCUUAACGGUGGGUCUGCGCCGGGUACGGGCGGGCUGGAGUGCGGUAGGGGAGACUGGAAUUCCCGGUGUAACGGUGGAAUGUG
rnacentral:rRNA from 1 species